AGCCCGCUGGCCCACAGGCGGGGAGCGGCUCCUCACCGUGCCAGGGCUGGCUCCGCUGCCCAGGGUCCUCUGCAGGUGGCAGUUGAAGAUCUCCUCUGCCCGCCGCAGGCUUUGCUGUUCUCUCUCAGGAGCUCUGCCCGACCUUUCAGCUGGACAAUGCACCUGCGAUUCUUCAGUGCUCCGACUAGAGUUUGGACUUCUAGAAAAAUCCCCUAGGCCGGCCGCACCUGGACUCAGUUUCCCUCCCUUCACUUCCUCCUCAUUGCCCUUCACACGAGACUCUAAUUGUCCAUCAUCAACUCAUCAGCCUACCCCCAUUACACACGAGCUAUGUCACUGCCCUGUGCCUGUUUCCUCAUUUGGAAAAUAGGAAUAAAAAUAGUUCCUAUGUA